rnacentral:SRP_RNA from 1 species
ACUGGAUGUGGUGAUAUGCACUUGUAGUCCCAGCUACUCAGGAAGCUGAGGCAGGAAGAUCACUUGAGUCCAGGAGUUCUGGGCAGUAGUAUACUCUUCUAAUCUGCAGAUAGGUGUUUGGCACUAAGUUCAGCAUCCAUAUGGUAACCUGGCAGGAGUUGGACAGGGGGUGGUGGUGGGGGUACCAGAUUGCCUGAGGAGGAGUGAACUGGCUCAGAUUGGAAACAGAGCAGAUCAAAAUUUCCAGUACUGCUGAUCACUAGUGAGAUCACACCUGUGAAUAUCCACUGCACUCUAGUCUGGGCAGCAUAGAAAGACCCAUCUCUU